GGGGGUGUAACUCAGUGGUAGAGUGCUCGCUUCGCAUGCGAGAAGUCUGGAGUUCAAUCCUCCACUCCUCCA